AUUGAACGCUGGCGGCAGGCCUAACACAUGCAAGUCGAGCGAGCGGCGGACGGGUGAGUAAUGUAUGGGGAUCUGCCCGAUGGAGGGGGAUAACUACUGGAAACGGUGGCUAAUACCGCAUACUAUCGGAUGAACCCAUAUGGGAUUAGCUAGUAGGUGGGGUAAAGGCUCACCUAGGCGACGAUCCCUAGCUGGUCUGAGAGGAUGACCAGCCACACUGGAACUGAGACACGGCCCAGACUCCUACGGGAGGCAGCAGUGGGGAAUAUUGCGCAAUGGGCGCAAGCCUGAGGCAGCCAUGCCGCGUGUAUGAAGAAGGCCUUCGGGUUGUAAAGUACUUUCAGCGGGGAGGCGUUACCCGCAGAAGAAGCACCGGCUAACUCCGUGCCAGCAGCCGCGGUAAUAC
rnacentral:rRNA from 1 species